CAGAUUUUAGUUUAUAUAAAAUAUUAAUUUUGGAGAUUAAUGAAAAAUUAUUUUUUAAAUCUGA
rnacentral:tRNA from 1 species